GGGCGUGCUUGGCAGCGGCUGCCGGCUCUGGGGGCACGGUCCGCCUGGGCGGGGGGCACCCGGCGCCGCUCACGCUGCGUGUCCCGGGGGGACGCGUUCGGACAACACCUUGAAGUUUAAAACCUCCACAGCGCUGCUCGCUUGGCUGCGGCGGGGCCGAGGUUAGCUGGACCCAGGACGCAGCAGAGGACACCUGGUAUCUCAGUGCUGGAAGGAGCCACCAGGAGCUGGAGAGGAUUAGAGCCAGGCCUGAGGUUGUCCAUGGAAAGCUGCAUGGAAUAGAAGGACGUGGGGGUGUUAGCUGACAGCUGAGUGAACAAGGCAACAUCCCUGUCUUCAUUUAGUCAGAGAGGGCUGGACAAGGAGUUCUAAGAGCUCCAAGAAAGGAGGUGGUGAGGGGUGUGAGUGGAAUGAAAGGGUUGAGGGUAGUUGGCCUGUGUGUGUGCACACAGAGGGGAAACCUGGAAUCAGCAUGGCAGGAAGAAGAAAUGUGGAGGUGGGAAGGAGCCAGGAGGGGAGAAGUGCUCUGCAGAAUAAAUGGAUGAAGGGAAGUGGGGAGGUGGAAAUACCGAGACUGGAGGAGAAGUUGGAAAAAGAGAAUCAGAUGAGAGUACAGAGAGAAACAUGGGAGCCUGUCUGGGCAGGAAGCAGGGGAAGAAGAUAGGACUGUGCUGACAUGCUGAAUGUUGGGGUGAGAAAGGAGGUAGGACUGCGUGUGUCCAGGCAGUGGAGUUCUGGGUGUCCCAGGACAUCAGGGUGUCCUCCUCUGGUCUCUAGCACCAAAAAAUGGUAUCUACUGGUCCUUCUGUUUAGUGCAUCUGAAUGGUAACAUGGUACCAGGCACUAUUCUGGAGGCACCUGAGUCACUCCAAAUGUGUUCCUCGCAAGAACUUUGAAUCCCCGUUGCUGUUUAGUAUUAGAAAUUUCUCUGAAGUUCACUCCCAUCCCCUUCCAGUCUCAUUUCCUUCCAGUGUUGCUAUCUAUAGAAUAAUAAAUUGUAAACCUUUCAUCAGUUACUUCAGGAGUUUUAACAGCAGAAGCCUCAUUGUUGAAUCCAAAAAUUCCUUCCAAGGUAAUUAACCCAGUGGUAUCAACAUUCUGUCACACGAAGAAAUAGUGCUUGUGUUUUUGUAAUUGACAACUGGAAAUAGGAACACAACUGCAGAAGAGCUUGAUCAAGAUUCAAAACCAAAGGUUAAGAAAACCCAGGAAAAAGAUUAUCUGUGCAAUCCUUAAUUGGUUCUUUCGUAUUUGUUUACUAUGAUACUUUCUAAUAACAUAAUUGCUUUUCUACCGUCAUCCUUGCUCACUUGUUUCACAGCACUGGCUGUCGCUACUUGAUGAGAAGCCUCUCCUGAGUUUUUUUUCUCUCCCUGCUCAAUGUGCAGCCCAGAUUUGCUUUUCUGCACGUGGUGUUUGCAACUGCAGACAGGCUUAGGAUGCUUUUUAUGGUUCUUACCACAAUUAUAAGAGUGCUUUGCGGUCUUGGAAAACAUCGUGUGUCUAUGAGAUAGGAUGCUUAGGAUGCUGGUAUAUUCUGGACAGAACAGUUAAGGUAAAAGACAGCUGAGAAUUCAUUUCUCAAAGCAGAGCUCCCAUGGAUUUUUUUUUUAUUAUUAUUAUUAUUUUUUUUUUUUUUGUAGCACUUCUCCAAAUGAGGCCUCAGUAGGAGCCACUCUGAGCUGCUGCUCAUCUACAAAAGGCUUUAAACAUCUUUCCUGCCAGUGCACACAUCCCAUCUGUGGCAGGAGCAGGGAUAGUCUCAAGCUCUUCACAACAGCAUUCAUCAUCUUAAUCUUCAGAAGAUUAUCCUUUCUCUCCAACAACCCUGCUCAUACUUUCACUAUUUUUUCUCCCUGGAAAUUAUCUGGGUCCCAGCUCUGUGGCUGCAAUCUAGUUUCAUCUAAAAAAAAGAAAAGUCUUAAACUAUGUUAGCCAGGCUUUUCACCAAAAGCUUCUUCAAAAGGUGAAGCAGGAUUCUCAUCAACAUGAUCCUUCUUGACAACAGACACAGUGUCACACACCGAAUAAGGCAGGAUCCUGUUUACAAAUUAGCAAAUGAGCAUGCAACACACAACAAAGGGAAUGUGAAUCAUGUGGCAUGGACAGCUCUUUUUUUGGCACAUCCUAUCUAGCACCGGGUUUUACAACAAUAAUUCUAUUUUUAGAAAUGUGUGUGUGUGUGUGAUUAUAAAACGUGUGAGCUUAAAGAGAAUUUAUACAAUCUUUGUAGACCAUACUUUUAACCAGUUUAUCAAAUCAAAAUGUGCUGAUUUUUAUGUGUGUAGAUCAUUACACAAAGCAAAAAAUAAAGGAUAUUAUUUGCUUUGUGUCUCCAAUAAACUACUUGCAGCAUCUCUA